AAGUCGUAACAAGGUUUCCGUAGGUGAACCUGCGGAAGGAUCAUUAUCGAAGUCCAAUCGAGCGCACUCUGUGGCUCAAUCUUCAUAUCCAUUCACCCUUGUGAACUGUACUAUUUUUUUUAUUACACUCUCAAAGUCUUUGAAUGUAUCUUGUAUAACACAAUAAAACUUUCAACAACGGAUCUCUUGGCUCUU
rnacentral:misc_RNA from 1 species